rnacentral:lncRNA from 1 species
GUGUAGCUGACUUGUAAAAUGUGCCGCUGACGGAGAUCCGAGAGGCCCUGGGUGAGGCGCAGAAAAGAGCAAGUGCCGAAGAAGCGCUGAACCAAGAAUCCCGGCUCCUUGCUCAGCCUGUUUCUGGUCCCUUAGUUAAGUCCAAUGGUCAACUUACAAGGGAGGAACUGGUCAAAGAGGAGUUGAAUCUAAAGCUGUAAAUCAUGAUGGGAAGCAAUAUCUGGAUAAGUUGCUGUGGAUGGUGCCAAGAUGUGAAGUUCACACCACAGCAAAUGUGAAGUCAGCAGUACGCAACCACAAGGUGGAAACUUCAAGCAAAACAGGCUGAACGGAACGGGGGGUGGGAGAAGGAG